rnacentral:rRNA from 1 species
CCUACGGGAGGCAGCAGUGGGGAAUAUUGGGCAAUGGACGCAAGUCUGACCCAGCAACGCCGCGUGAAGGAAGAAGGCUUUCGGGUUGUAAACUUCUUUUAAGGGGGAAGAGCAGAAGACGGUACCCCUUGAAUAAGCCACGGCUAACUACGUGCCAGCAGCCGCGGUAAUACGUAGGUGGCAAGCGUUGUCCGGAUUUAUUGGGCGUAAAGCGAGUGCAGGCGGUUCAAUUAGUCUGAU